rnacentral:lncRNA from 1 species
AUACAGGUAAGCACAGGUGAAGGCAAUAACUGUGAUUACCAGAGGAGGACCUGUAGGAGGAGACGAAGCCAAAUCCCGACACCUGGAGAGGUUCCCUUCAACCAGGGAUCAAACAGAUGUCCAGAAGGUUUCAAAUGUGCUCUGGUAUCAGCCUGGUUCUUUCAGGCAAGGUGGGGCCUAUCCCUAGUCUUGUCCUCGCCCUCUUAUGGAGGGAACACAGGCCAACCUUUAAAGUUCAGCUGUCCUGAAGAACAGAGAACGUCCUGGACUACUGAUCAUCUUCACAGGCACACAGCAGGAAUCAAGAAAAACUUUGAAAUGCCUGCUAAUCAAAGUCACCAGAAGGAGACAGAAAUUCUGCAGAAUCAAGUCAGAAGGUGGAAUCCAUCUGUACAUCCAAUUUUCUUAAUCCACUGUAUCCCUUUCGGGUCACCAGACCCUAACCUGGCUACUUUAGGGCAAAGACAUGGCAGAAGGCUGAAGGUCAGAGGUCAGAGGGAGCUCUGAGUGCAGGUCAGUCUGCGCAGAU